AUGGCUCAGCCUGCCUGCUCUCUCCUGUUGGUCGGCCCGCGUGAGGUGGGAAAGCAGAGGGCUUGCUCACUACUUGCACCUUUUCAGCUUAAGUCACUGCAGGAGAAGGCAGCAAUGAAGAAAUACACUGAUGAGCCAGUCUUGAAUAAAAUGAGAGCCUUCGAGCAGCAAGGAGUAAACAGAGGUAUCGAACUUGGGUCCUUGUGCUUGCGAGGCAGGCACCGGAACCACUGAGCUAAAUCCCCGGUCCUAAAAAGGUAACUAUUAAGAAGCACUCAUUAUGACUUGUUUAAUUGUUCUUAAAUUGUUAAUUUGAAAAAUACUGAUUUUUUUUUAACCCAUUAUAAAUGGAAAAGUACCUUGAAAAGGAAACUUACUAAUGGGGGAAAAUAGAAUAAAGUUCUGUCACUAGUUUAAUGGUUUUUAUCUUUCCUUUUGCAGUCUGCCUGUGGGGUUUCUUUCUUUUUCUUUUUUUGUUUUUGGUACCGGGGACCAAACUCGGGACCUUGUGCUUGUGAGGCAGGCAGUGGCACCACUUUCUUUUUUGUUUGUUUGGUUUGGUUUGGUUUUUUUUGGUACUGGGGAUCGAACUCGGAUCCUUGCGCUUGUGAGGCAGGCGCUGGAACCACUGAGCUAAAUCCCUGGCUUGUUUCGGUUUUUUGAGACAGAGGCUUGCUAUGUAGUUCAGGCUGACCUUCAACUCACUAUAGCCCAGGCUGGCCUUGAACUAAUGGUGAUCCUCCUGCCUCAGCUUCCCAAGCUCUGGAAUCAGUCUGCCUCUGAGAUUUCUGUAAUUCCAACCUUUAUCCCAGCCACUUCUCUGUACCAUGUAAAAUGUGAGUGGCUGGAUGUGUCCACACAUCCACUACCCUUUCCCUGAUACCCUUUCAGAUCUUGUACUUUUUCCCCAGACUCUCAAAGUGUGGUCCUAUCACCUGGGAACUUCAUCCCCCUGGCCUCUCAGUCCUCAUCCCCUGCCCCAUGAUUCUGAUGUAGGAGAAUUUCUGUGCUAGACAUUGAAGAAACUGAAGUUGUUCAGUACACAGGUAACCCCAGGAGGUUACAAUCUGGGCAACUAAGCUAUAAACUUGUUAGUAGUGCAAUGGUUGAAUUUUUUUGAAAGACAAAAAUUAGGCAUAUACAUAAUAUUGAUUAAAAAAUAUGACAAACUCCUUGAUGGAGUUCCCUUUCCAUUAGGAUAAAAUUCAGAUCUUAAAAUGGUUUACAAGGCUGGGUGUGCUGGUGUAUGCCUGUGAUCCCAGCCCCUGGGAGGCUGAAUCAGGAAGAUAGCCAUAAAUUCAAGAGCAGCCUGGGCUCCAUGGUGAAUUCCAAGCCAACCUGAACUACAUAGCUGAGACCCUGUCUCAAAAUAAUAAAAAAUUAAAUUUAAUUAAAAAAUCUUUCGAAGAUGGUUUCCAGGGUGCUGCAAACCUAGCCCAGCUUUGCAGAGAAAUCUGUUCUUUCCUCAUCCAGCCACACUUGCCAUAAGAACUCAUUUCAGUUCUAAGGAUACACGUUGCCUGUUCUCUUUUGGGCCCUUUGCAGACUCCUCUCUGUCUAGGCCCCUGUCGUCCCCGCUCUGCAUCCUCUAGGUCUCAGGAGGUCUCAGCCUGGCCACCAGUGUGAGGAGCUUCGCCUUGGCACAUAGUGUGUUUCCAUCCACUCCACCCUUUCACAGCGUGGCACUCCUGACCUCCCCUGCUGUGUCCAAGGAUCUUCUCACCCUCUCGAAGAUUCCACUGGAGACUUAAGCAGAGUUGGGUCUCAGCAAAUUGCCCUUUCCCCUGUCCUUGAGGGUCUGAACCUGGAGAAACCCACCAGUUUCCAUCCUGCCCAGCCGUGCCUUGCUGGCACUGAGCUAAGUACAGAGUCUUUGCACUUAACUGCCACACACCUGCCUACUCUCAAAGUACCCAGGGCCAGGUGUGGUGACACAUGCCUGUGAUCCCAGCACUCUGGGAGGCUGAAGCAGGAGGAUCACAACUUUGAGCCUAGCUGGGCAACUUAGCAAUUUAGUGAGACCCUGUCUCAAAAUUUUUACAAAGCACUAGGGAUGUAGCUUAGGUUAAAAGCCCUGGUUUCAGUCCCCAGUACUGAAGAAAAGGAAAAGAGGGAGGGAGGAACUUAAGAAAUGUCUAUCAAUAUACUUGUGCCUAACUAUUUUCUUGGUUUAUGUAACACUUGGGAAGCAGCCUUCCCCAGUCCCUGAGCCCUUUUGGGAACAUUGAACAGCCCUGCUCAGUGAAAUGAUCUUACUGACACUGAGAUGUACUAGAAUAUGAGUGGCCAAGUAGAAAAGCAUGGGCAAGGGCCAGGGAUUUAGCUCAGUGGUUCCAGCGCCUGCCUCGCAAGCGCAAGGUCCCAAGUUCAAUCCCCGGUACCAAAAAAAAAAGCAUGGGCUGAGGAGCUAAGACCCAAGUUUAAAUCCCAGCCUUGCUGUGUUCCUAGUAGAAAUGAUUUGAACUUUCUGAUCCUGCUUCUCUCUAUAUAAAAUAAACAUUAGGAUUGUUGUGCACAUCCCCUGAAAUCCAUUCCCUGUGGAUGUUAUUUUACCUUCUCCUUCCCCAGAGAAUAAGAAACCUGUGUACCCAUAGCAAGCCCCACAGGGUGGUAAGCCUUUGCCCUUCAUCCUGAGAACUGGACCCUUGCUCAUAGGCCUCAGAAUUGGAGUCCAAGCUUUCUUCAGGUCAUCUGUAGGCUCCUUGGCCUAAGCUCAAGCAUCUCUCGCCUGCUGCACUUAAAUUAUCAGCAGAGAGGGCCAGGGAUUUAGUUCAGUGGUUCUGCUGCCUGCCUCACAAGUGCAAGGUCCCGAGUUUGAUCCCCGGUACCAAAAAAAAAAAAAAUUAGGAGGGAUCCAUACCAUUUGUCCAUUCAUUCCUUCAGAUGCACUCCUUCAUUCUUUUGGAACCUCCUUUGUACAAGGUUCUGGGCUGGCUAGUGUGAUGUGAGGAUGAAAUAGUUACAGGAGGAGGUGGCUGAUUCAAAGAUCUUCCAAUACAGUAAGGAGAGGUAAUAGUGUGUGUCUACCACAGGUGGAAAAAUGCUGCGACUUAUGAUAGAUAAGAUCAAGUGCAACAGGAAUUCAAGCAAAUAAGAGAUUUUCUGCAGUUGCGGAGCUCCCAGAAAGCUUUACACAGGUCAUGUUCAACUUGUGUCUGAACAACUAACACAUAAAAGAGCAGUUCAUUUCAUUUGCACUGGAAGUUCAGGUGCCUGUGUGCCUCACACUUUGGGGGCAGGAGCUCACCUAUUAAAGGAAUUUCCUCCAGCUUGGCAUGUAAAAGUUUGACACAUGCUUCUGUAAAAUCUGCCAGAGUGGCAGCUGAAUUUGAAAAAUAUACUGUGUAAUAAUAAUGUACUUGGAGCAGAAUCGUUGUUCAUCUUAAGCAGCAUGGAAGCGGUGCUCAGCUGUUAUGUGUCAGUGACAGCUGAAACUUGUACCAGAUUAUAACUCUGCUGCCAGCCAGGUGCAGAUAUAGCAUCAUCUUAUGUUGCCCUCAGAAUUCUGCCACCUCUCAGGAUGCACAGUUUGGAACUGAGAGUUACUAAAUGCCUUAAAUGACUUUCCCAGCCCAUGUGAAGCCCAACCAGGCCAACCAGUCAGUGAGAAAGAAUUAAGAGAUGCCUGUCACCUACAGGAGUGUCCGUAUGUGGCCAGGACUGUGGAGAUCCUAGAGCCAAGGGACUGGGAAUUCAGCCAAGGAAGCUUGCAUGAUGUCUCCCACUGGUUUCUCUGGUCCAUUGCAGCCACCUGUCUUUAGAGCUCCCUGUUGCGUUUACUCCUUCUGCCGAGCUUACAUUUAUUCAAGAUCAAUUUUUUAAGCUGCUUUUCCCUUUGUGGAUCAUGAAUUGUAGCACAGAAAAAAUGAGGUUUUGGAGCCUGUGAGAGGCAGGGUAUGUGUUGCUUCACCGCGUGCUAUUUAGGGAAGGCUGAGCCUCUCUCGGUCUUCUCUUUGCCCUGCCCAGCAAGGCUUCUGGUCCUUCCUCUGCAUUCUUAGGAGCAGCUCAAGUGCUGCUUACAUUCUUGAUCUCGAGAAUAAAAAAAGAAAGAAAGAAAGAAAUCCCUAGAUCCUGACACUCCAAGCAAACCUACGUCUGAGGAAUUGACAGAUAAGGAUUUAGGUGAGUGGGUAGUUCUUACCUUAGGUCAGUCCAUGGUGUGCAGAGUGUUUGGUGGGACAGUAUUCACUUCUUCCUUGUGUGCUAUUUAAGGGGUGCUUUAGUAAGGAGGCACCCAAUCUCUAACUUCACUCAUCUUAAAUUCCCUGCCACUGCUGAAAUUACAGGCAUACAUAGGAGGAUCAAAAGCUUGAGUCGAGGGCUGGGGAUUUAGCUCAGUGGUGCCGACACCUGCCUCACAAGCGCAAGGUCCCAAGUUCGAUCCCCAGUACCAAAAAAAAAAAAAAAAAAAAGUUUGAGUCCAGCCUGGGCAAUUUAAAGACUUAGCAAGUCCCUAUCUCAAAUUUUUUUUUGUUUUUGUUUUCUUGGUACCGGGGAUCAAACUCAGGUCCUUUCACUUGUGAGGCAGGUGGUGGAACCACUGAGCUAAAUCCCCGGCCCCCUGUCUCAAAAUUUAAAAAGAGCCAGGCUUG
rnacentral:lncRNA from 1 species